GAUGAACGCUGGCGGCGUGCCUAAUACAUGCAAGUCGAGCGAACGGACGAGAAGCUUGCUUCUCUGAUGUUAGCGGCGGACGGGUGAGUAACACGUGGAAACCUACCUAUAAGACUGGGAUAACUUCGGGAAACCGGAGCUAAUACCGGAUGAUAUUUUGAACCGCAUGGUUCAAAAGUGAAAGACGGUCUUGCUGUCACUUAUAGAUGGAUCCGCGCUGCAUUAGCUAGUUGGUAAGGUAACGGCUUACCAAGGCAACGAUGCAUAGCCGACCUGAGAGGGUGAUCGGCCACACUGGAACUGAGACACGGUCCAGACUCCUACGGGAGGCAGCAGUAGGGAAUCUUCCGCAAAGGGCGAAAGCCUGACGGAGCAACGCCGCGUGAGUGAUGAAGGUCUUCGGAUCGUAAAACUCUGUUAUUAGGGAAGAACAUAUGUGUAAGUAACUGUGCACAUCUUGACGGUACCUAAUCAGAAAGCCACGGCUAACUACGUG
rnacentral:rRNA from 1 species